ensembl:rRNA 5S_rRNA 5S ribosomal RNA
GCCUACGCCAUCCCACCCUGGUAACGCCCGAUCUCGUCUGAUCUCGGAAGCUAAGCAGGGUCGGGCCUGGUUAGUACUUGGAUGGGAGACCUCCUGGGAAUACCGGGUGCUGUAGGCU